GGCGCGGUGGCUGAACGGUAAAGCGCUUGGCUUCUGAACCGGUGACCGGGGUUCGAAUCCGCGCCU
rnacentral:tRNA from 1 species